AUGGGCGCAAGCCUGAUGCAGCCAUGCCGCGUGUAUGAAGAAGGCCUUCGGGUUGUAAAGUACUUUCAGCAGUGAGGAAGGUGGUGUCGUUAAUAGCGGCAUCAUUUGACGUUAGCUGCAGAAGAAGCACCGGCUAACUCCGUGCCAGCAGCCGCGGUAAUACGGAGGGUGCGAGCGUUAAUCGGAAUUACUGGGCGUAAAGCGCAUGCAGGUGGUUUGUUAAGUCAGAUGUGAAAGCCCGGGGCUCAACCUCGGAAUUGCAUUUGAAACUGGCAGACUAGAGUACUGUAGAGGGGGGUAGAAUUUCAGGUGUAGCGGUGAAAUGCGUAGAGAUCUGAAGGAAUACCGGUGGCGAAGGCGGCCCCCUGGACAGAUACUGACACUCAGAUGCGAAAGCGUGGGGAGCAAACAGGAUUAGAUACCCUGGUAGUCCACGCCGUAAACGAUGUCUACUUGGAGGUUGUGGCCUUGAGCCGUGGCUUUCGGAGCUAACGCGUUAAGUAGACCGCCUGG
rnacentral:rRNA from 1 species